UUUGUAGACCAGAUGUAGCAAUUAACAACAAUAUUUUAAUUGAGAAAUUGAAACAGCAUCGUUUUCAGAUGCACACGCAUUGUUUGAAUUAUUAUAAAUAAUGAGUUUGUGCAACGAGAUGAGGACAUUCAACUGGAUUGUUGACCUUUUUAACUGGGCGAGAGAAAAAUCAGGUCACCAUAUCACAGUAUACAGUAAAUCAUAACUUAUGACCUCUUCCAGAAUGAAAAAGUGGAUAUAUUUUAGGAAAGCUUCAUCUUUUAAAGAAGAUUAAUAACGAUGACGAACCUAUACCAUACUAUAUAGCUUGUUAAAAUAAAAUAAUGUUGUUGGGUU